rnacentral:pre_miRNA from 1 species
CAAGUACUCCCUCCGUCUGGAAUUACUUGUCAUCAAAAUGGAUGUGUCUAGAACUAAAAUACAUCCAUUUCAAUGACAAGUAUUUUCGGACGGAGGGAGUACAAG